CCAAUAUUCCACUGACCAAUACCCUGCUCUGCUCAGUUACCUCAGUGGCCAGAGGUUUCAGGAUUUUAAACCAGAUGCAAAAGAACACAUGCUAUAAAAGAACUGAUUGAUAUAUUUAAUUUUAUUAAAACUGAAAGCAAAAAAAUGAUUACCUAAAUAACAUACAACAUCAACAACAGAAAACUUUUGUUUAUCUAAAACCACCAUGAAGAAAUGAAAAAGCUGAAGUCAAUUUCUCUUUCCAGAUAGUAACAGUAAUAGAGACACCAAAGCUAUUGAUCCUGCAUUCAAAUUUGUUCUCAAGUCUUUCAUGAUAUUAAGUCAUCUGAUGAAAGCAUUGAGCUGUUACUCAUUAUGAAGAUAUGACUGAACAUCAUGGGUCCCAGGGAGAACGGAGCUAAGGUUUCCACACUGCUGUUUCAAUAUGUCAAGCCAAACAAAUUCAAAAUCUCCCCGAUUCAGCUUUUGUUCAACCAAGCACAAUGAGCUGAGAGAAGGAGGUAGCUAUACUAGAUGUCAUUCUUCAGAAGAAGAUGAACCCCUUUUCAGUUCAUGCUGUACUAGGAAUAUUCUCCCAUUUACACAGCUG